UCUCGUAUUGUUGCUACUGUUGAUCCACUGCCAUCAUUGUUGAUUAAUUCUGGGGAUGAAAGUGAAAAUUGAAGGGAAUAAAAAUAGGAGAUUUAUGCUGACCUCAAUUAGCUGAGUGAUUUGGCAUGUGUUUAAUGGCCGUUAAUUGGCGCGUCUAAUAUCCGUCCGCAUUAAGGUAACGGAUUUUUUGACGGUGAUGAAUGGAGUACAAAUGAGAAAAAGUUCAAUAUGUUGAAGUAGUCCGUGACCAUAUACGAGUUGAGAGAUUUUUGAAACAUUUCACUCCGCAGCUUGAGUAUUCAAAUUUUCAUCAUUCCCAUUUUUUUCUUUAUUCCCUUUGGCUGAAACUUUAACUUAUUUCUCAUCAAUUUAUUAAUUGUUUUGUAUUUUACUUAUGGCAAUGUAUCGCCUCUCUCACGGCCGCCGUCUCCUCAGCCUCCGCCACUCUUACCUGUCAAUUGCCCUUUCCGGGAUUAUCCCUCCGCCAAUAUCAAACCAUAGUAAUAAUUCCCUUCAUUCUUCAUUCUCUUCUUGAUGCUUCUAAUUUCUUCGAAUUCUCCUGAAGAAACUCCAGCUCAAAACACCAAUUUUACAAUUCUUUUCAUCUAAUCCGAGCAUUCGGUGCGUAUCAAACGCUUUUUGGAAAUUCUCACAUUUCCUCGCUAGCAUCAAAGGAAAAUGAGCAAAAACCGAAAAUUAAUGGGAGUUGUAAACUCGAUCCGUCGUGGAUCAAUGUUCGUUUACCUGAAAAGGCUGGGCCUUAUGCCCACCUGGUGCGCCUCGAUAAGCCGAUUGGCACUUUGCUUCUUGCUUGGCCAUGCAUGUGAUCUAUAACCAUGGCAGCAGGUGCGGGGAGCCUUCCAGACUUUAAGAUGAUGGCUCUGUUUGGUUCGGGGGCAUUCCUUUUACGUGCUACAGGAUGUACAAUCAAUGAUCUACCUGAUCAGGAUAUUGAUAGAAAGGGUGGCCAUAUUACGCAUUUUCGAUGGGUGCAUCUAGUCAAUUAGCUUGGCAGAUAUUGACAAUUGACCUAUCCGGUUGUGCUGAUUGCAAUAGAAAGUAGGUGUAGAAUAUGAUGCAUCUAAAACAUGUUAAAUUGGUUUUGCAUAACAUCAACUGAGGAACAAAUGGUGGCAUUGAUUGUUUGCCCUGGUAUUUUAAAUUUUGGGAAAAAUAAUCUGUUUCAUU